rnacentral:rRNA from 1 species
CUACGGGCGGCAGCAGUGAGGAAUAUUGCGCAAUGGACGAAAGUCUGACGCAGCCAUGCCGCGUGCAGGAUGACGGCGCUAUGCGUUGUAAACUGCUUUUAUAGGCCAAGAAACCUUCGGACGUGUCCGAAGCUGACGGUAGCAUAUGAAUAAGCACCGGCUAACUCGUGCCAGCAGCCGCGAUAAUACGGAGGGUGCAAGCGUUAUCCGGAUUUAUUGGGUUUAAAGGGUCCGUAGGCGGAUCAUUAAGUCAGUGGUGAAAGCCGGCAGCUCAACUGUCGAACUGCCAUUGAUACUGGUGAUCUUGAAUACGGUUGAAGUUGGCGGAAUAGGUCAUGUAGCGGUGAAAUGCUUAGAUAUGACCUAGAACACCGAUUGCGAAGGCAGCCAACUAAGCCGUUAUUGACGCUGAGGGACGAAAGCGUGGGGAGCGAACAGGAUUAGAUACCCCUGUAGUC